AAAUUGAAGAGUUUGAUCAUGGCUCAGAUUGAACGCUGGCGGCAGGCCUAACACAUGCAAGUCGAGCGGUAGCACAGAGAGCUUGCUCUCGGGUGACGAGCGGCGGACGGGUGAGUAAUGUCUGGGAAACUGCCUGAUGGAGGGGGAUAACUACUGGAAACGGUAGCUAAUACCGCAUAACGUCGCAAGACCAAAGUGGGGGACCUUCGGGCCUCAUGCCAUCAGAUGUGCCCAGAUGGGAUUAGCUAGUAGGUGGGGUAACGGCUCACCUAGGCGACGAUCCCUAGCUGGUCUGAGAGGAUGACCAGCCACACUGGAACUGAGACACGGUCCAGACUCCUACGGGAGGCAGCAGUGGGGAAUAUUGCACAAUGGGCGCAAGCCUGAUGCAGCCAUGCCGCGUGUGUGAAGAAGGCCUUCGGGUUGUAAAGCACUUUCAGCGGGGAGGAAGGCGAUAAGGUUAAUAACCUCAUCGAUUGACGUUACCCGCAGAAGAAGCACCGGCUAACUCCGUGCCAGCAGCCGCGGUAAUACGGAGGGUGCAAGCGUUAAUCGGAAUUACUGGGCGUAAAGCGCACGCAGGCGGUCUGUCAAGUCGGAUGUGAAAUCCCCGGGCUCAACCUGGGAACUGCAUUCGAAACUGGCAGGCUAGAGUCUUGUAGAGGGGGGUAGAAUUCCAGGUGUAGCGGUGAAAUGCGUAGAGAUCUGGAGGAAUACCGGUGGCGAAGGCGGCCCCCUGGACAAAGACUGACGCUCAGGUGCGAAAGCGUGGGGAGCAAACAGGAUUAGAUACCCUGGUAGUCCACGCCGUAAACGAUGUCGAUUUGGAGGUUGUGCCCUUGAGGCGUGGCUUCCGGAGCUAACGCGUUAAAUCGACCGCCUGGGGAGUACGGCCGCAAGGUUAAAACUCAAAUGAAUUGACGGGGGCCCGCACAAGCGGUGGAGCAUGUGGUUUAAUUCGAUGCAACGCGAAGAACCUUACCUGGUCUUGACAUCCACAGAACUUUCCAGAGAUGGAUUGGUGCCUUCGGGAACUGUGAGACAGGUGCUGCAUGGCUGUCGUCAGCUCGUGUUGUGAAAUGUUGGGUUAAGUCCCGCAACGAGCGCAACCCUUAUCCUUUGUUGCCAGCGGUUCGGCCGGGAACUCAAAGGAGACUGCCAGUGAUAAACUGGAGGAAGGUGGGGAUGACGUCAAGUCAUCAUGGCCCUUACGACCAGGGCUACACACGUGCUACAAUGGCAUAUACAAAGAGAAGCGACCUCGCGAGAGCAAGCGGACCUCAUAAAGUAUGUCGUAGUCCGGAUUGGAGUCUGCAACUCGACUCCAUGAAGUCGGAAUCGCUAGUAAUCGUAGAUCAGAAUGCUACGGUGAAUACGUUCCCGGGCCUUGUACACACCGCCCGUCACACCAUGGGAGUGGGUUGCAAAAGAAGUAGGUAGCUUAACCUUCGGGAGGGCGCUUACCACUUUGUGAUUCAUGACUGGGGUGAAGUCGUAACAAGGUAACCGUAGGGGAACCUGCGGUUGGAUCACCUCCUUACCUUAAAGAA
rnacentral:rRNA from 1 species